GUCGAGAGAGAAAAGGAAUGUGUCCAUACCUUAAUGCAACCAUAUAAUUCCCAGAAGUUAGAGCAGGGCUCCUUCAUGAGCAGAAGGUACAGUCUGUAAUUAGGGCUGAGAGGCAGGUGGCUACGCCCUGGACUGGGGUUAGUCUCUUGGGUUUAGUCUCUUAGAAAGCAAUGUGGUUUGCAGUUCUGUUGCAAUCCAGAUGAUGGAAUGCCUACCACGAAGGAGCAAGCCCGACCUCAAGCGAUAGAGACCUUUUGAGCUAAGUUCCGUCCUUCACCCAGUGCCUGUGUAUUGGAAUGGGUGGAGUGGGUGAGAGCGGGCUGAGAGGAAGCAAAGCCGUGGAGAUUCCACAAUGUUAAGAUUAAAGAGAAGGAUCAGCACAAACACCUCAAGAAUGUGACGUGGUGGGUGGUCUUAUUUUCCUUGUUCUGGAGAAGGUUGCGUUUUCCUACCAAAGCUGACAGCUGGGUUCCCUUACCCCUGAGGGUGACUGAUGUUUGUUCCUAGAGAGGGAAUUACAUGCCUCUGGCCUGUCUGUGUAGAUCUGACAACAGCCAUCAUACCCUUGUAACCCCCUUUUUGGACCAUAAUGGAAGUUAGAAAAGUCACACAAUGACCAACCUGUACAGAGGAACUUGUCACAGAGUGGACUGUUCAGUUCCACAGUUCAUUGUUGUUUCUUUAUAACUCAAUUAGAAUAAGACACAGGUUCAAAAAGAAGCAAUGCAUCUAUGACUGCUCAAAUUGAGAGAGAAACUUUUCAGGGGAAUUAUUCACAAACUCCUUUUCACUGAGCUUAUGGCUACUGUUCCUCCCUCAAGUGAUAGAUUCCAACGAGGUGUCAGAAUGGCUUUGAUAGCUUCCAGUUCCCCAGACCUAAGGCAAAGAGGGAUAAAUAAGAUCACACACACACACACACAUACACACACUUUUAUAUGCAUUAACAAGGCAGUUUUAAUCCAUGGAGUGAUUUUCUCUAAAAGAGGCUUUAAAGAUUAUGAGUGUGGGUUCUGUGGCUGCACUGCAUUGGUAUUCUAGCUCUGACACCAGUUUCUGCAUCUGUAAAAUGGGUUGUUACAAGGAUUAAACAUGUUAUUAUCAUUUUUAAUGAUAAUAACAUGGAAUCCUCACUGAAGG
rnacentral:lncRNA from 10 species